GGUUUUUAGAUGGGAACGUUCUAUAAGAUAAUGAAGGAGUCCUCAGAAGAACUUGAAGUGAAGCACACCUCCCUCAGUCCGGGGGCAUUUCUACCACAAAAUCCAAGAAUGGAACCCUUCCCAUGAUUACUACCUCCUCUACAAUCUAAUUGAUGCAAGCGGUCUAACCCAGACAGAAGGCUACAAAGAGAUCUGCAAUAAGGAAAUGUAUCCCUCUUCAGCACACUGUGAAAAG